rnacentral:lncRNA from 1 species
UUAGGUUAGUUUUGCAUUUGAUUCAAGUUUGGGUAUAGGUUUGGCAUUAAAAUCAAGUUAUGGGUUAGUUUUGGCAAAAACCCCAAAAUUUUAUUUAUUGUAGUGCGGGAAUUUGCGCAUGAUGAGAUUGCCAUAAAAAAUAAUAUAAACAAAGUACAUAAUUGUACACAGUCUGCAAAAUAGAUAUACAUAAUUGUAUUAUGAAUAUUAUAGUUAUU